UCAGCUGAAUUUACCAUACCUCAUAUAAUUUUGGGAAUAGGGCCCAAUAGUCUCUACCCGUCACCGUAAAUGACGGACUAUGAGGGAGGAUGUAACCCCC
rnacentral:ncRNA from 1 species